AAUGCCCAGCAGAUUCAAACCUGUAGUCACUGAUUACCAAAUGACAAUGUAACUUCAAAGUGAUAAUCUCCUCGCAGUCUCAAGCUAGGUGUAUAAAUGACAAAAUAAUUGACCCAUCAAGAAGUGAAGAGAAUACAGUUUCAAUCCUUAUGGUCCAUUUAACUGACAAUGAAAUGAAUCACGGAGCAGAGUUACAGACCAUAACGACCGAAUAGUGCUGUGAACUUGACUCUAAUUCUAAUUUCUAGUUUAUAAACAACUUAACUAGACUAUAUUUAUUGGAUCAUUUAUCAGCUUCCUUGUUGCUGACUGAGAGGAUAACGUUGAAUAUGUACUUUAAUCCGUACUUGCAUCACGAUAUGGCAGUGAUAUUAUGUUGGAUACUCGUAACUUUUUAGUGUUGCUUAUCUUAUCUGCUCCUUCUAAAAUAUUCCGAAACAACAGUUACUUUCGAAAAAUGCUUUCUGAUAUCUAGAUCCGCUUUGACAAUCUGGCACCACUAUUGCACUUAAAACUAUCAGGAUGGACCCUUCAUAAUAAUAAUGGAGGUUAAAGGAUGAUUUUCCACAAUUUUGAAGGCAUUCACGACCCGAUUGGACAACUGAGUUAGAUAAUUCUGACAUUCUAGCCGUAUUCUAGACGGUUUUUUACCUAACGUUUUGUCCACAACAGUGAUGGGCAUUUUCGAAGUUUUUUUUGGUUGUAGAUCGUAACUUGACUCUGGAUUUCUCUGAUAUCCGACUAGACCACGUAUAGAAAGCUCAAUUAUCCAACUCUGUGGGACUUUCUAUCUAUAGUUUUUACAUAAAGAACUCUAUCGAUUUUUUAGUGAUAUUGAUUCAUUCACAUGACAUCAAAUAAUAAAAUUUAUAUCAUAACGGAAACUGAAUACUUUAUGCCUCACCAUAUCUGAAUUCAAAUAAAUAUCGCUGUUUAAUAUUCAUCUUUCAAUCUCGAAAAUUAUCAGAAUUUCUCUCAUUUUAUUUUAAUAUAAUACUACUCAAGACCUGAUUUGAGAUUUGACAAGACCAUAUUUUGUUGUAUAAUAAAAUAUAUUGAAGGUGACGAUUUAUCCUAAGUGAAUGAUUAAUACUUAAUAUUUUGAAAUCUAUGUCUUGUAUUAUAUACAGGUCGUUUCUAAAUUGAAGUUACAAACGGAAAUGAAAGAUUCCUUGGAUAAUUUUAAGAAUCAAAAGUCCUAUAAACAUGGGCCAGAAAAAGCUUUGUUUUUGAGUUCCUUGUCCGAGUUCAUUGAAUCUUUAACAGUCAUUGUUACAUAUAUGGAAAAUAAGCACGAAAACUAAUAAUUAAUAUAUUCGAUUCAUCACAGCACAGCUUACUGAUUGGAUUUUUAUUAUAAUUUGGAGUAUUUCGAGAUUAUGUUUGAAAUUUUUUUCUCGAAAUCGGUUGCAGAUACGACAAAACUAUAGAAAACAACAAAUUUAGGAUUUGUCACAGUUUAUUUUUACAUUUCCUUAAACUCAGAGUGGUCCACAAAAAAAAAUGGAGGAAAAUAGCAUGCACAGAUUGCGCUGUUCCAAAAAAAAUGAACAUUUGGAAUCGAAAUUGGUAUAUUACAUAAUGUAAACUCUAAAUUCGAAUAACUAUACCAAAUAUCAGUUAAAUGUUUUGUGUUUAUGCUAUGAGAAAAAAACUUGAAAAAAAACAAAUUUAACUCCCUGUAUCUCGUAAACAAAGCAUCUGCAGGACUAGGAUAUUUUUUUGCUAGAAUUACUCGAGAAUAUCAUUUACUUUUGUACCUCCAAUUUAGAAAUUUAAAUUUUUGUUAUUGCUCAGAAAAGUUGCAUUUUGGUGAAUGCGCCAGGCACUGAAUUUGACUUGAUGGUGAAAUAGAUAUCGGACGUAUAAGUUGAAAGAAUACAUAAUUCGGUUUGAUAAUUGAGAAAGAUCUGUUCUUUUUUUACAUAUUAUUCAACAGUUUGAUCUAACGUUAAUUUGGUUUGAGUCACAUAUAUUUAUUUACACAAUAAAAGGAUAUUAUAAUAUAUAAUUAUAAUUUGUUUCAUAAAUUGGGCAUCUUCUAUUUCCUCAUCAGAUUGAAGAAGUGAAUUAUGAAUAUAUUCAAAAACAGUUUUUCUGAAAAUUUUCUUCUGGAAAUUACCUAGUUACACUUUUUCUGAAUAAAAUUCAAAAUAGAAGGUA